rnacentral:rRNA from 1 species
UACGUAGGGUGCGAGCGUUAUCCGGAAUUAUUGGGCGUAAAGAGCUUGUAGGCGGUUUGUCGCGUCUGCUGUGAAAAUCCGGGGCUCAACCCCGGACUUGCAGUGGGUACGGGCAGACUAGAGUGUGGUAGGGGAGACUGGAAUUCCUGGUGUAGCGGUGAAAUGCGCAGAUAUCAGGAGGAACACCGAUGGCGAAGGCAGGUCUCUGGGCAACUACUGACGCUGAGAAGCGAAAGCAUGGGGAGCGAACAGG